CACGUAGGGCGCAAGCGUUGUCCGGAAUUAUUGGGCGUAAAGAGCUCGUAGGCGGACUGUCACGUCUGCUGUGAAAAGCUGGGGCUUAACCCUGGCCUUGCAGUGGAUACGGGCAGACUAGAGGUAGGUAGGGGAGAAUGGAAUUCCCGGUGUAGCGGUGAAAUGCGUAGAUAUCGUAAGGAAGACCAGUGGCGAAGGCGGGUCUCUGGACAGUUCCUGACGCUGAGGCACGAAGGUCAGGGGAGCAAACGGG
rnacentral:rRNA from 1 species